AGUGGGAUAAUGGGGUCAAAUGGUGGUUUCAUUCCAAGUUUUCUGAGGAAUCUCCAUACUGCUUUCCAGAGUGGUUGCACCAAUUUGCAGUCCCAUCAGCAAU
rnacentral:pre_miRNA from 1 species